UGACUAUCGGAGGAUGUGUGUGCUUUGUGUUUUUUAAAGUAGUAGAUUAAGUUAAAGACAAAUGGCUUAUUAGUAUACUGUACUAGAUUGGUAUAACAAAAAAAAAAAAAAAAGCUAUUUUCAAAUUCCUCCAUGGUAAAAUAUGUAAUGGGUUGUUUCAAAAUCUGGCAACAUGUUGCAAAUUGCAAGAUCGUUAAUGAUUUCUACUUUUUUGCUAUCCUCUAUGUUAUGUUUGUUUUUUACCCUUUUGUGAUUGAAUAGUUUAAAUUUGUUCCAUACAUAUCUAGUAUCUGCGUUUCUGUUUAGGGAUUCACAAAAUUUAAUAAAUGAGUUUCUUUUUUUUCCUUAAAUUUCUUUUUUGUUAUGGCUGUAACUCGUUUGACAUUGAUAUAAUUUUACAGAUUAAAAUCCUUUUUAAAAGAUUUGAUGGCAUUUUUCUUUUUUGUGAGAAGCUGUUUACAUUCUUUGUCCCACCAUGGGUUAUUUGGAAGUUCAAAAUUAUUAUUUUUUUAUAUGGUAUUGUUUCGUUUAUUAUUAAAUUUAUUUUAGUUAUAAAAUUUGUGAAGUUUGCACUAGUGUCUGUAUAGUCCUGUGCUAACGCUUUAGUAUAAAAUUGUUCCCAAUUGGCUUUAUUAUAGUUGUGGGUAUAAUAUGUAUUUAUUACUGAUGUUUUAAAUGUAUAUUUAUUAUUUUCAUGAAUUUUAAUGUUUGUAGGGAAGUGGUCGCUGUUGCCAUUGUCUGUUAAUACUUGCCAUUCUAUAGCUGGCGCAAGACUGGAUGUUACUAUUGUUAGAUCAACUGCACUAGUUUUUUCUGAAUUGUGAAAUAGUGUGGGUGAACCGUCAUUUAGUAUCAUAGCUGUAUCGUUUUCCAUUAAUUUCUCCACUAUAAGUCUUCCACCGAAAUUGAUUGGCAUUUUGUCCCACAUAGGGUGAUGGCUGUUCAAGUCGCCCAUGAUAAUAAUGGGUUGAUUCGUGUUUAAUAUUUUAUCAAGAUCCUCUGACUUUAAUUUAUUGCUUGAAUUACAGUAUAUAUUUGUAAUGAGGGUGUCGUUUACUUUGACUGUUAGGUAUUGGGUGAAGUUGUUAUCAAAAGAAGUAAUUUUUUGAUUAUCAAUUUGCUGUAUUAUAAAGUGGCUACUCCGCCAUAUCCAUCCUCUCUAUCUUGUCUUAAGGUCGAGUAAUUCUUUAUGUUAAAUUUGUCUUGUUUCUUUAGCCAAGUUUCGUUUAAUAGAAUGAUGUCCGGCUUAUGUUCCUUAAUAAGGUUGAUUAGAUUUUCUCUAUUUGAUUUGACACUUCUAAUAUUCCACUGCACAAUUUUUAGGAAUUUUUUGGUGUUUAUGGUGUUUUUUGAUUAAUAUGUAUUGUCAUGGCUUGUAGGAUUUUGGGUUUUUAAAUGGUUUAUUAUUAGAUGUUUGAUGAAAUCUCUGCCAUCUUUGUUACUUAGGUAUUUUUCAAACAGUUCAUCUGCAUUAUACAUUUUUUCAUUUGGUAAUUUAUUUUUAAGUUGUUUAGUGUAAGUGCACCUAUGGGCUUAUCUGUAUCGCGUGAUCUAUUUAGGGUAUUUGAUGUGUUUUCACUCCAAUGUGAACAAGAUGGGGUGUCUAACUGUUGUGUCUCUAUCGGGCGAGUGUUAAUAUAAGCAUUCAUCAUGCUUUUGUUUAUCAUAACCCUCUUGAAGGAGUCUUUUUUUAGGGGGUUGUCUAGUGACCUGUUGGUAAGAUCUUUUUGGGCCUGUCGCAUUGAAGUACUCCGUUCUUCUUUGGUCUGGAGUGAUAAAGGUUUCCGUAUUGUUUGGCAGUGUCUUCCCAAUUGUGGGGAAGUCCUUGGGGUUGUAGUAGUAUUCGUUUCUUUGUUGGUACGUUCUUCUGCAUUUGUCAUUUGCAUCUGCGGUAUGUCAAAUUUUCGAAAGUCAUCAAAUUUUUAAUAUUAAGUUGUCUCUGAUAUUCUGGACAAUUUUUGUUGGUGGAUCGAUGAUUGUUUUUACAGUAGUGACACUUGCUUUCGCAUGAAUAUUCUGUUAUAUUUCCACUUUCAAUUGGGUCCUCAUGUAUUUCUCCUGCACAAUUAAAGCAUUUCGGUUUUGCUUUGCAAUUCUUUCUUGUAUGACCAUAGAGUAAGCAAGCAAAGCAUUGUGUCACAGGUGGUAUGUAAAUUGAUAUUUUCAUUGCCAUGUCACAGAAAUAAACCUCUUUUGGUAGAGUUAUUCCUCUAAACGUAAACAAGCAGGUACCUGUGGGUAUGUAGUCGGGUUUAUUAUCUUUUAGAACUUUCCUAUUCAUUCGUUUAAUGGAUAUUAUUUGUAUUGGAGAAUUAAAAUAUUCAUUUAAUUGUUCCUCUGACAAAUAUUUCAUAUCCUUUGUCGAGAAGUUUUAUAUUUUUAACAAAAUGGUUGGCCGCGCUAUGGUUUAAAAAUUCUACAGCAAUUCUGUUCAGUCCUUUAUUUUUAAUAUUUCCCACAUCGACGAGGUCAAAGUCAAGGUCAAAUAUUUCCUUAGCUAGUUCUAAAUGUGAAUAUUUGCCGAUAUUUCCUAAGGAAUUUAUUUUUUUUUUGAUGUCUCAAUAUAAACAGUGUAUGGGUCCUUAUCUUUCGAGUCAUAUUCUACGCUACGUUUUAAAUUUUUGGGCUCCAUACUGGAGCCAUUAUUAACAUUAGGGGUACUACCCGUUUUUGGGGGGUCAGGCGGGACCGGGGGAGGUUUGAUUCCUCUCCCAUGUCCAGCCCCACCGUCCAUAUUUACAACCACACUAAGGUGUGGUUGUCAAUCAACAACUUCCCAAUAAACAACUAUAAGCUAUACACCAUAUACAGUCACAAAUCACCAUAUACAGUCACAAAUCGAAGGAGUUAAUCCUGCAACAAGAGCCGAAAGGCUAUACAAUCCCAUAUCCGAACAGGAAACGUGAUCGAAAGAUGUUUUGGAGUUUGGAAAAGAAGGCUUCCCGUUUUGGCGUAUGGCUUGAGAGUAAAACUGGACCGCAAUGCACAUUAUUUCGGCAACUGCAGUUUUAUAUAAUAUGGCAAAAAAUGUGGGUAAAAAAGAUCCUCUUGCUUGCAGAUAUUAAUGAGGAGCUAAAUUAUUUAAUUGCUGUUAGGGAAGCAGGCACUGUACCAGAACCACACAGCCAAGCUUUAGUUAACAACUUUAGAAAUCAACUUGUAAAUUAUUAUUUUUCUAGGCUUUAAAUUACUAAGAAAAUAUACCUUUGGAAGUAA